GGAACACAGAUCAGAACAUGGGAGUAUUUGGGGAGGAUAAGGGGAUGUGGACCACAGCCUACAGGAGCAGAGUGCUUCUCAGGAGGAGGCAAGGUGUGAGUUACAGGUGGGACUUGUGGGUGCGGGGACGUGGGGUGGCAUGGGUACGUGGGGGGUCUGGGGGCUCGUGGGGAGCGGUUUGGGGACAGAAUGGAGGAUGUGGGGUGGUGUUGGCGUGCAUUCAUUGAUUUCUUCCUGAGAGGGGAUUGGGGUUCCCUGUGGCCCAAAGGUGGAGCCCUCAUCGGUAACCGCACAUGAGCCCAGAACCCCAUAUAACUCCACGUGACCCAAGGCUCCACAUAUUCCAUAACCUUGUGAGCACAGUAAGCCCAUAUGAGGCUGUGGGCAGGGAUGGGUCUGUUCCUGGCUUGUUCAGGGGGUACUAUAAGGUGGCUCUGGGGCCGCUGUAGGUCAGCAGCCUGUAUAUUCCCCUGAUGCUCAUCUUGCCCUCAUCUUGGGGGGCAAAAUGGAGGUCAAGGGGUUUGUUGGGGGCUAAGGAAGAGGUUCCAUGAGUGUAUCCCAUAGCUGCCCAGAGCAUCCCCAGAGCCAUCCUAGAGGAGCAGUUCCAGAGCAGCCCCAUCAUUGCCCAUAGCUCGUAGCCAGCAGCAGUUCCACCAGCAGCAGUGUGUUGGGUAAAGACAGCUCCUAAGUGUGGCUCUGCUCCAAAGCUGCCCCAAAGUGCUCCUGAAGCCCUCCCAUAGGCGUCCUUUAGCUGCCCCACAACACCAUAAGGCUUCCCUACAUCCCAGCACAUCAACCCAAGUGCCAGUGGGGUGUGCGAGAAACGCUCACAUCCCUGAUGUUCCACCAGGCACAGCUCUCAGUGCAGCAGCAAAGCUCAUUCCUGAUUGCUGUGGCGUUACUGCACUCUCCUCUGUGAGCUCCUUCUGCUCCUGUAGCUCUCCUCCCAUGGCACCCACUGCUCUCCUGUUCCCCCUUGGCUGGGCACUGCAGGCUAACAGUCUCCACCACGCAUCCGCUGUGCAGUUUUUCCAGGUGUCGUCUAUGGCCAACGUGUUCCUUUCGGGCUGACUGUGUGCUUUUCUAUGCCGACAGGCAGGCAGGAUUUCUUGCAGCUGUUGCACGUGCUGGGUCUCAUGCUCCGUCCUGCAGCUGUGCCUUAUCUCAUGUGCACUCUCCACCUCCCCC
ensembl:lncRNA